rnacentral:rRNA from 1 species
CACUGCUCUGACGGAUGCUUUUAUUAGACCAAGCCGCUGAGGACUUGAGGGCUUGCUCUCCUGUCUGACUCGUGUAAUGGUGACUCUGGAUAACCAAAUUUCUGACAAGCGCACGUACUUCUCUUCUGAGCGAGACGGCGCUGCCACUUUCGAGUGUCUGCCUUAUCAGCUAUCAACCGUUCGUUAUGCGCGACCGAUGGCUUUGACGGGUAACGGGGAAUCAGGGUUCGAUUCCGGAGAGGCAGCCUGAGAGACGGCUACCACGUCCAAGGACGGCAGCAGGCACGCAAAUUACCCAAUCCCAGCAAAUGGGGGAGGUAGUGACGAAAUCUAACGAUGCGGGCGCCCUUUCUGGGGCCCCGCAAUCGGAAUGGGCACUUUCUAAACAACCUGUUGAGAACCUACUGAAGGGCAAGUCUGGUGCCAGCAGCCGCGGUAAUUCCAGCUUCAGCAGCAUCUAUUAAAGUUGCUGCGGUUAAAAGGCUCGCAGUUGAAUGUCUGUAUCGAGCGCAGGUCAGGUGGACGUUGGGGCGUGGAAGUACGGGCAGUUGGAUGUCCGGAGGGCCUUCGUGCUCAACGGCUCCUUCGGCUUUUCCACACACCCCCGUCCGUGACAAGCCUCCUCGCUCGGGUACAUAACGGGAAUCGGUCAAACGGAGUGUGGUCGGGGGUUGGGGCGCGUGGCCUCGGUUGCGUGUCUCUUCUUUCGGCUGCGUUAAGCUCCAUCGGUUUCACGGUCACCUUGAGUAAAUCAGAGUGCUCAAAGCAGUCGUAGGGGCCUUGCGCCCUGUGAACAGUCUUGACGGACUGACUUGGUUUUGCAUGGCAUGUCGGAAGACGACGUCGUGUGCUGGCUCAGAGGAUAAAUCAGUGGUACAAGCCAGCCUCGACGUAAUGAUUAAAAGGGACGGUCGAGGGCAUUGGUAUUGCGAGGCGAGAGGUGAAAUUCUGUGACCCCCGCAAGACCUCCUGAAGCGAAAGCGUCUGCCAAGGACGUUUUCAUUAAUCAUGAACGAAAGUUAGAGGAUCGAAGGCGAUCAGAUACCGCCCUAGUUCUAACCCUAAACGAUGCCAACCAUCAAUCCGCGCGUAGCACCCUUCUUAACGGGCUCGGCGGGCAGCUCCCCACUCACGGGAAACCAGAGCCUCUGGGUUCCGGGGGGAGUCUGGUUGCAAAGCUGAAACUUAAAGGAAUUGACGGAAAGGCACCACCAGGCGUGGAGCCUGCGGCUUAAUUUGACUCAACACGGGCCAUCUCACCAGGCCAGCACUCUUGUACGAUUGACAGAUGAG